rnacentral:rRNA from 1 species
UACGUAGGGGGCAAGCGUUGUCCGGAAUCAUUGGGCGUAAAGAGCGUGUAGGCGGCCUGGUAAGUCCGCUGUGAAAGUCCAGGGCUCAACCCUGGAAUGCCGGUGGAAACUGUCAGGCUCGAGUCCGGAAGAGGCGAGUGGAAUUCCUGGUGUAGCGGUGAAAUGCGCAGAUAUCAGGAGGAACACCAGUGGCGAAGGCAGCUCGCUGGGACGGUACUGACGCUGAGACGCGAAAGCGUGGGGAGCAAACAGG